CAAUAGCGUAUAUUAAAGUUGUUGUGGUUAAAAAGCUCGUAGUUGAACCUUGGGCCUGGCCGUCCGGUCCGCCUCACCGCGUGUACUGGCUCGGCCGGGCCUUUCCCUCUGUGGAACCCCAUGCCCUUCACUGGGCGUGGCGGGGAAACAGGACUUUUACUGUGAAAAAAUUAGAGUGCUCCAGGCAGGCCUAUGCUCGAAUACAUUAGCAUGGAAUAAUAGAAUAGGACGUGUGGUUCUAUUUUGUUGAUUUCUAGGACCGCCGUAAUGAUUAAUAGGGACAGUCGGGGGCAUCAGUAUUCAAUUGUCAGAGGUGAAAUUCUUGGAUUUAUUGAAGACUAACUACUGCGAAAGCAUUUGCCAAGGAUGUUUUCAUUAA
rnacentral:rRNA from 1 species